GAGUUUGAUCAUGGCUCAGAUUGAACGCUGGCGGCAGGCCUAACACAUGCAAGUCGAGCGGAUGACGGGAGCUUGCUCCUUGAUUCAGCGGCGGACGGGUGAGUAAUGCCUGGGAAUCUGCCUGGUAGUGGGGGACAACGUUUCGAAAGGAACGCUAAUACCGCAUACGUCCUACGGGAGAAAGCAGGGGACCUUCGGGCCUUGCGCUAUCAGAUGAGCCUAGGUCGGAUUAGCUAGUUGGUGGGGUAAUGGCUCACCAAGGCGACGAUCCGUAACUGGUCUGAGAGGAUGAUCAGUCACACUGGAACUGAGACACGGUCCAGACUCCUACGGGAGGCAGCAGUGGGGAAUAUUGGACAAUGGGCGAAAGCCUGAUCCAGCCAUGCCGCGUGUGUGAAGAAGGUCUUCGGAUUGUAAAGGCACGUUUAAGUUGGGAGAAGGGCAGUAAGUUAAUACCUUGCUGUUUUGACGUUA
rnacentral:rRNA from 1 species